AGCCCGAUUUUGGGCCUAGUCGGAACAGUGGUUUCGGGACCACAAAUCUGACAAGGAAAAAAUUUAUUUUUCUUAUAUUUUUAUGGUCUACGAUUUCACGGAAUUAUUUUGUAAAAAUUUUGUUCGAAAAUUUCGACGUUUGGGCACUCAAUUUAGUCAAAAGGACUAAAUUGUAAAAAGUGCAAAAGUUGAGUUCUACAAGUUAGAGGUGUCUAAUUAUUAUGAAAUUUUAAAUUGGAGGUCCUUAAAUGGUAAUUAGACCAUUGGUUAUUUAUGGACAAAAAUAGACAUGGUUAGUAAGUAAGCUAUUUAAGGGCAUUUUGGUAAAAUGCCUUAAUUAAUGAAUAAAGACAAAAUAACAUGAAAUAAAUUAUCAUCUUCUUCAAUUCUUUUCUUCAUGGCCGUAUGUAGCAAGGGAACACCAUGGCUAGGGUUUGUUCAUCUUCCAAGCUUCAUGUCUUAUCCAAAUUGAUUGGCUCAAUUAAAAGAGAAAUGAUAUGGUUUCGAGUCUCUCGGUCUUGAAUGCCGAACCCAUCACCAAACUGAUACAGACAUUGCACCAUACGUGCAACGUUAGUAGUAACCUUAACAAAAGAACAUGGGAGCAAAUUAUGUGAUUGAUUAUUCAAACAUUGCCCAUUUAUUUUCUUCCAUGUAUUGUUGAUCAUGUUCUUGAUAUGUUCUUCAGCUUCUUUCUCUGAAACAUUCAUUUCUCGCGCGUAACAAUGGAUUGAUGAUGGUGCAUCCCCUCUCUCUUUCUCCGCCUGUUACAAUUCAUUCAAUAAUUGUUGUAUCGCUAUAAAAAUUCAUGAUUGAAUUAGUGUCAUGAGAGAAAAAAAUUACCAUUGAAGUUCCUAAAUCGUUGUGAAGUCGUGUUAUGAUGCUGAUGUUGUAAGCAAGAUCUUCAUCUUUUCCCAAUAGAUUGAUAAUUUUUUCAUCA